AGUGAACGCUGGCGGUAGGCCUAACACAUGCCAGUCGAACGGCAGCACAGUAAGAGCUUGCUCUUACGGGUGGCGAGUGGCGGACGGGUGAGGAAUACAUCGGAAUCUACUUUUUCGUGGGGGAUAACGUAGGGAAACUUACGCUAAUACCGCAUACGACCUACGGGUGAAAGCAGGGGAUCUUCGGACCUUGCGCGAUUGAAUGAGCCGAUGUCGGAUUAGCUAGUUGGCGGGGUAAAGGCCCACCAAGGCGACGAUCCGUAGCUGGUCUGAGAGGAUGAUCAGCCACACUGGAACUGAGACACGGUCCAGACUCCUACGGGAGGCAGCAGUGGGGAAUAUUGGACAAUGGGCGCGAGCCUGAUCCAGCCAUACCGCGUGGGUGAUGAAGGCCUUCGGGUUGUAGAGCCCUGUUGUUGGGAAAGAAAAGCAGCAGGUUAAUACCCCGCUGUUCUGACGGUACCCAAAGAAUAAGCACCGGCUAACUUCGUG
rnacentral:rRNA from 1 species